rnacentral:rRNA from 1 species
GAGUAAUGUCUGGGAAACUGCCUGAUGGAGGGGGAUAACUACUGGAAACGGUAGCUAAUACCGCAUAACGUCGCAAGACCAAAGAGGGGGACCUUCGGGCCUCUUGCCAUCGGAUGUGCCCAGAUGGGAUUAGCUAGUAGGUGGGGUAACGGCUCACCUAGGCGACGAUCCCUAGCUGGUCUGAGAGGAUGACCAGCCACACUGGAACUGAGACACGGUCCAGACUCCUACGGGAGGCAGCAGUGGGGAAUAUUGCACAAUGGGCGCAAGCCUGAUGCAGCCAUGCCGCGUGUAUGAAGAAGGCCUUCGGGUUGUAAAGUACUUUCAGCGGGGAGGAAGGGAGUAAAGUUAAUACCUUUGCUCAUUGACGUUACCCGCAGAAGAAGCACCGGCUAACUCCGUGCCAGCAGCCGCGGUAAUACGGAGGGUGCAAGCGUUAAUCGGAAUUACUGGGCGUAAAGCGCACGCAGGCGGUUUGUUAAGUCAGAUGUGAAAUCCCCGGGCUCAACCUGGGAACUGCAUCUGAUACUGGCAAGCUUGAGUCUCGUAGAGGGGGGUAGAAUUCCAGGUGUAGCGGUGAAAUGCGUAGAGAUCUGGAGGAAUACCGGUGGCGAAGGCGGCCCCCUGGA